rnacentral:misc_RNA from 1 species
CGCGUCGUAUCAGCUGACCAAAACUGACCAAUGAAAAUCCAGCAAUUCGUCCACCGCUGUUGUGUGUUUAUCCCAGAAAUACUUCAUUCAUUAAUUAUUAUCUCCGGCCUUCUUCGUUCCGAUUGAAAUGUGAAGAUCGAACCUUCUUAUAUAUCACCUAACUAUUAUUACCGACGUAGAUUUAUUGAUACGAGAUUACCCUAUGUCCUGGAUACAUUGAAAUAUAUUAUAUUCUGAAGGAUCAAAGGAAAAGCACCACACAGAACGGAUAUAAAAACAGAUAUCAGUACAGUGAAAUGUUUCUUCUGAACUUGAAAAAAUAGCAACAUCUUCCUUCAUUGCUGACUAGAAUAUCUUCUCUACAAGAUCUGUUGGAGAAAUUUACAAUUGGAGAAGUUUAUAAUUUAGCUUGUUGCAUAUUCAGAUUUUGAGAAAAAGAUACUGUUCAUGGAGGUGUAGUGGUGUAGAUUCCGUUUUGUAAGGAAGGAAUUGUAAAGAUAAACAGAACAGCGAUACCUGUGUAUUUUUGGUGAAAGAAGAAGAAUAAUGGAAACCAGCGACAAUAUUCAAGAAUUGAUUUUUCCGACAGAACGGAUAUAAAAACAGAUAUCAGUACAGUGAAAGGUUUCUUCUGAACUUGAAAAAAUAGCGACAUCUUCCUUGGAAUUGUAAAGACAAACAGAACAGCGAUACCUGUGUAUUUUUGGUGAAAGAAGAAGAAUAAUGGAAACUAGCGACAAUAUUCAAGAAUUGAUUUUUCCGACAGAACAGAUAUAAAAACAGAUAUCAGUACAGUGAAAGGUUUCUUCUGAACUUGAAAAAAUAGCGACAUCUUCCUUGGAAUUGUAAAGACAAACAGAACAGCGAUACCUGUGUAUUUUUGGUGAAAGAAGAAGAAUAAUGGAAACUAGCGACAAUAUUCAAGAAUUGAUUUUUCCGACAGAACGGAUAUAAAAACAGAUAUCAGUACAGUGAAAGGUUUCUUCAGAACUUGAAAAAAUAGCGACAUCUUCCUUCUUUGCUGUCCGGAAUAUCUUCUCUACAAGAUCUGUUGGAGAAAUUUACAAUUUAGCUUGUUGCAUAUUCAGAUAUACCUGUGUAUUUUUGGUGAAAGAAGAAGGAUAAUGGAAGCUGGUGACAAUAUUCAAGAAUUGAUUUUUCCGGAAAUCCUAACUGAAGGGAUAAAGAAAUCUUUAUACCCUUGCAGUGUCUGUGGGAAGUAUUUCGCUCAGAAAGGUAACUUAACGACUCACAUGCGAAGUCAUACAGGCGAGAAACCAUAUCACUGUAAUAUCUGUGGUAAAUCGUUUUCCGGAAGCAGUAACUUUGCUAAGCACCGGCGUAUCCAUACAGGGGAGAAGCCGUAUCACUGUGACGUGUGCGGAAAAUCGUUCACCGAGAAAGGGGUAUUGAUUAAGCACCAGCGUAUUCAUACGGGAGAGAAGCCGUAUAAGUGUAACGUGUGCGGAAAAUCGUUCUCUCGGAAUGGCGAGGUAACUGUUCAUCAGCGUAUUCAUACUGGAGAGAAACCUUAUCAUUGCGAAGUUUGCAGUAAAUCGUUUGCGAGAAACGGCGAAGUGAUUAUACACCGGCGUAUCCAUACGUUGGAGAAGCCAUACAAAUGCCACGUCUGCGGAAAGGCUUUCUCUGAAACUGGGCAUUUAACUACACACAUCCGCGUCCAUACUGGAGAGAAACCAUAUCACUGUGACAUCUGUGGUAAACGCUUCUCGCACGGAAAUACCUUAGCGAUACACAGGCGCAUUCAUUCAGGUGAGAAGCCGUAUAACUGUAAAGUCUGCGGUAAAUCGUUCUAUGAAAAUGGAAUUUUAAGCAAGCACAAGUGUGUCCAUGCGGGAGAGAAGUCCUUUCAGUGCGAUAUUUGCGGGAAAUCCUUUGCUGCGAAUGGGGUUUUGAAGAAACACCAGCAUGUUCAUACCGGGGAGAAACCCUAUCAUUGCGAUAUUUGUGGUAAAGCUUUCUCUUUGAGCCAUCAUUUGAUCAAACACAGACACAUUCAUACAGGUGAGAGACCGUAUCAUUGUGAUACCUGUGGGAAAUCGUUUUCUGGAAAUAGCGACUUGACCAGGCAUAAGCGUAUUCAUACAGGCGAGAGGCCGUAUCAGUGUGAAAUCUGUGAUAAAUCUUUCUCCGAAAGCGGCCACUUGACCAUCCACAUACGCAUUCAUACAGGUGAGAGGCCGUAUCAUUGUGACGUCUGUGGGAAAUCGUUCUCUGAGAAUGGAGUCUUGACCAAACACAAACGUAUUCAUACAGGCGAGAAGCCAUACCACUGUGAUUUCUGCGGGAAAUCGUUCACGCAAAACGGUGUCUUAACAAAACACAAGCUAAUUCAUAUCGAAGAGAAACCGUAUCACUGUGGGUUCUGUGGCGAAUCGUUCUCAGAAAGCAGCGAAUUAACCAAACACAGGGAAUCUCAUUCUUCAGAGAAAAAGUUCCACUGUGACAUCUGUGGUAAAUCUUUCUUCACGGUCAGUCAGUUGUCCGUACACACCCGUAUUCAUACAGGAGAGAAGCCAUUUCGCUGUGAUAUCUGUGGCAAAGCAUUUUCGAAAAACGGCGUCUUGACCACUCACAUGCGUAUUCACACCUCAGAGAAACCCUACAGUUGUGACAUCUGUGGAAAAGCCUUCUCUCAGAAGUCUAAUCUAACAAGACAUGUUAAUAUUCACACAGCAUAGUAACUGUAUCAGUGUCAAAAUUUAUUCUACAACGUACAACAACAAACAUUUUCACAGCAUUUUCUCUCUUUUACUUGUUUCAGUCAUUUGACU